GACGAACGCUGGCGGCGUGCUUAACACAUGCAAGUCGAACGGAAAGGCCCUGCUUUUGUGGGGUGCUCGAGUGGCGAACGGGUGAGUAACACGUGAGUAACCUGCCCUUGACUUUGGGAUAACUUCAGGAAACUGGGGCUAAUACCGGAUAGGAGCUCCUGCUGCAUGGUGGGGGUUGGAAAGUUUCGGCGGUUGGGGAUAGACUCGCGGCUUAUCAGCUUGUUGGUGGGGUAGUGGCUUACCAAGGCUUUGACGGGUAGCCGGCCUGAGGGGGUGACCGGCCACAUUGGGACUGAGAUACGGCCCAGACUCCUACGGGAGGCAGCAGUGGGGAAUAUUGCACAAUGGGCGGAAGCCUGAUGCAGCAACGCCGCGUGCGGGAUGACGGCCUUCGGGUUGUAAACCGCUUUCGCCUGUGACGAAGCGUGAGUGACGGUAAUGGGUAAAGAAGCACCGGCUAACUACGUG
rnacentral:rRNA from 1 species